GGGGACGAUUUGGUCUCGACGGGGGCUUGCAGGAGCUUGAACCUGCGAGUCGGGGAUUACGGUAUCCUCGUUAACAAGCCGUUAAACCAAUAAAUGCCAACGAUAACUAUUCGUACGCAUUAGCUGCUUAAUAAAAUAGCAGCGAGUUUUGAGUGCGGUUGAUUGCCGCCGCCUUAGAACUACGCUUGGCAGUCGUGCUGUUCACAAUGUCAUCGGGUGAACGGCAGGAUUUAGAUGACUGGAUGGAAGGGCAGCGUGUCGGCUCGCGGUUCUCCAUUGAGAUUAAAUAGUUGACUAAACUCGUAGACGGUUCUCGAACCGCGUCACCGGACCCGGGUUCGAUUCCCGGCGUCUCCACUA
rnacentral:tmRNA from 1 species